rnacentral:rRNA from 1 species
CAGACCACCAGCUAAGGUCCCAAAAUAUAUGUUAAGUGGAAAAGGAUGUGGCGUUGCCCAGACAACUAGGAUGUUGGCUUAGAAGCAGCCAUCAUUUAAAGAGUGCGUAAUAGCUCACUAGUCGAGUGACACUGCGCCGAAAAUGUACCGGGGCUAAACAUAUUACCGAAGCUGUGGAUUGUCCUUUGGACAAUGGUAGGAGAGCGUUCUAAGGGCGUUG